UGAGCAAUCUGCCCUUCUCAUCGGAAUAAGCGUUGGAAACGACGUCUAAUGCCGAAUACGACCUCCUUUCGCAUGAUCGGAGGUGGAAAGCUCCGGCGGAGAAGGAUGAGCUCGCGGCCUAUCAGCUAGUUGGUGUGGGUAAUGGCCCACCAAGGCGACGACGGGUAGCCGGCCUGAGAGGGUGACCCGGCCACACUGGGACUGAGACACGGCCCAGACUCCUAGGGAGGCGG
rnacentral:rRNA from 1 species